UUCCUACGGGGCGCAGCAGUAAGGGAUAUUGGUCAAUGGGGGAAACCCUGAACCAGCAACGCCGCGUGAGGGAAGACGGUUUUCGGAUUGUAAACCUCUGUCCUCUGUGAAGAUGAUGACGGUAGCAGAGGAGGAAGCUCCGGCUAACUACGUGCCAGCAGCCGCGGUAAUACGUAGGGAGCGAGCGUUGUCCGGAAUUACUGGGUGUAAAGGGUGUGUAGGCGGGGCUGCAAGUCAGAUGUGAAAAUUAUUGGCUCAACCCAUAAACUGCGUCUGAACCUGU
rnacentral:rRNA from 1 species